GGAUAGCUUAAUUGGUUAGACCGUGGUGCAAAUAACGCCAAGGUUGCAGGUUCAAUCCCUGUGUGGGACG